AAUCGGGCCUGUUGGUCCUUUGAAAUUUUCCCGUUUUAAGUCUUCGUAGAGCAAAAUGAAAACACGGUUUCUCCGUGAAGGAGGUGUAGUUUUAAUAUGUUGUGUCUUUUUUUGAGUUUUGCAAGUAAUUUAUUUGACAAUCAAAAGGCUCCUAACUGACAAAUUCAUUGAAUAUACUCGUCAUACUCUGAAGAGUGAUCAAAUGGGCAGAUUUUAUUUGUACAUGCUCCACUGAAAGCCUUAAUGGAGAUGUUGUUUUUUUUCUCUUAAAGGGAUAUAUGUAUGUGUGAGUGUGUGUGCGUGUGCGUGUGGGCGGCGGGCGGUUGGCAUCCAAGUAUAGCAGUUUUUUUGCAAACAGUCACAAUCAAUUAGCUAGCCCGAUCAGGCUAAAGCUCCAUUUAGCUCCAAAUGAGGAUUUAGCAAGACAUGAGAGAGGAAGUGUUGGGAAUUGUGAAAUAUUGAUGAUGUUUGUGUAAAUGCCUUUGCUUAUGUCUCUCUUAAACUGUUUAUAAAGUCUAAUGCGAGGCCUUUUGGACUCCCGCAGUUUGGGUUUGUUACCAUUUAAUGCAGAAGGGCGGGGAAGCAAUGAGCAAAUAAGCAAAGGCCUGCAGAGAUUGCUAAGUCGGGCUCUGAAGUGCAAAUGAGCUUCCUCUCUCGGUUCUAGAUUAUGUUUUUUCUUGCAUGCUGACAUUGAAACACGGGACACGGGCAACAUGUUUAUUUGAGCACGCAUUAGCGUCAGAAUGAUGGCCAAUAAUAUAUUUUUCUCCAUAAAGCCAAGGUGCUUAAUUGAAUUAUAUGUCAGUUAAGCUAUUUAUGUGUGUGUGGUGCCAUUAGUACUGUGUAAUAUCAUAAGCCACCAUAGCUCACUAAUGACUUCAAAACUCAAACAAGUCCAGAUGGAAUAGUGAUACAACUAUGCGCCAUGAGACAAUUAUAAAAAAUAUACAUAUUACUCCCAGCUGCCCGACUCACUGAUGCACUGUGCAACGUUUGAAUUAAAAGACUGUCAGUGUUUAUAUUUGGGCAAAACUUUGUUGGAACCUUUCACCUUCUAAAAGCCACUGGCACAGCUUGACCGUCUUUUUCCUCACUGCUGGAACAGCUUGAGUCGAGGUCUGAUUAAAAAGCACAGACGUUGGCUGUGUCUUCCUGGGAGGUAAGAGCUAGCUAGGAGCCUGGUCGGGGCCUGGGGGAAAUAAAGAUUUGGAUCGAGCUGAUUUGAGUAGAUGAAGAUAGUGCGGUAAUUACAGGCAUCCCAGAUCUCAGCAGUAGAUAUAGCACGCCAGACCCAGAGCUUAUGGGAGUGUGAUAAAGAUGGAGUCCUGUGUAUUGGCAAGGCGAAUGCGGCGGGUGAUGAAGGGAGCGGGGAGUCAUUCUGUCAGUGAUCCAUAAAAAAAAAUCACGCAAGAUGGGGCCCAAGGUAAGAGCUAAAUGUGCCAUCUCCUAUCGUGGCUCCAAAAUAAAUUGUUGUGCCUUUAUGCUUUCAGAAUUAGCCUUUUUCUGCUUUUAUAAAAACAAAAAAAUCCAAUUAGCGCUUGCAAAUUUUUCCUUCACUAUUCAGCCCUCUCUGCGUAAUCCAUAACGUUCAGUUUUAUAGUGAAUCUGAUGAAAAUUAUAAAGGAGAGGAGUGUAAUUUCCCCCAGACACUAAUAGGACAUUGUUGUUAGCAUUUAACCUGUCCUGAUUGCCUUGUUUUUCAUGGCUGCUGCAUCCUGAGGUGGGUCUCCAUCCAGCCAAACCUUCAGCCCUCCUUCCCUCCUCCUGGGUGACAUUUCAGACGGGGCCCUGAGGGCAUUCGGAGGGGAGGCAUCGAACAAGAUAUCACAAGCUGUGCUGCCCUGCCUGGGAAGCUGGACACACUUGGAUUGAGCUGAGCUUGAAACAUCUGUCAGCACUCCGGACUCCGCUGGCGAGGAAGAGAGAGAGCGAGAGAGAGAGAGAGAGCAGAGGGCCCUGGUAUGUAGCGCAGGCCCUGGCGCAGGAAUCGCUGGAGCUGCUUAGCCUGGCACGGCUGAUUUGUUUAUUUGCCCUGACCUCGCGUUCGCGCCGAGGUUACGGGGACCUAGUGAAAGGAACCAUUGUGCUGUGGGGGGAAAAAAAAUCUGUUACAAAUAUUUACCAUGGAGGGAAUGCAAAGCCGUGGCCUGCAGCCAGCCAGACUCAAGCUGUAAAAUUCACUGCAUUGCAUUUUUUGAAUUAGCUCCCCCUCACCACCUCCAUCCCUUUUUAACCGGGGUUAAAAUUAUACCCCUUACAUUUUUAUUAAUGAGAUCACGCUGUCACAGAUUAUUAGACGUUUAAUAGCCUCAUGAUCAGGAUCCAAUGAGUUCCUCCAGCCCACGUUUAUCCCAUAACUUAGCAUUUUAACAUAUGGCGUGUGCACCAGGAUGCUGUGAUUAUACAAUAAUGACUUUACUGCGUCUGUGCCUUCCUAACAAUUGUGUUUCCUCUUAAUUUUGUGUAUUUUCAGUAACAAAUUUUCCUUCCCCGGCGUCUAGUUUGUGUAACCACAUUUGACUAAACUACCACGCCGAUGUUUUUCUUGCAGAAAAAUCUGGAGCACAUCCCCACACUGCAUUUCUUAUUCCGCAGGGUCCCCCUGUUAGGUCAGUAGUAACAAAUGCUUUUUCAAAAAGGCUGCAUAAAUUCCCUUUUCUCCUCAUAUGUUUUUUUUUUUUCUUUUUCUUGAAAAUGCCAUAUUGGUUUUAGCUGGAAUAAAUCUGCCGGCUUCCAUCAUGCUUGCCUUUUUUUUUUUUACCCUUGCUGCCGGACCAGGCGGACGCCCUCGCUGGCGCAUUGACAUGCAACAAAGCUAAUGGUGGCCGGGACAGGAGGGCCUAAUCUUCACUAACUGACAAGAUUUAAAUUGAGGAGACAUCUUCCGCUGAUUAGCUCCCACACCCACAAUUAUCCAACUGGGGUGUCAAGCAAGGUUUAACAUCUCCACUGAUUCUGCUCUCCUGAGACAUCCGGGAGGCAAUGCAAUCGCUUUUAAUAACUGCCUCCCUCCCUCGCUCCCUCCCCUCUAUCCCUCUCUCACCCCUUCUCCUUCCUGACGCCCAGUGCUUCUUGCGCACCCCCGCCCGCCGCCCAUUUCGCUUUUCCUUCUACCUUAUUCUUGCUCCCCCCCCCCAUCUUCACUCCCUCUGCAGCCUGCCCCCCCACCACACCCCAAGUUCCUAUAGUCAUUCCAGCUCCCUUCAAAAUUAACCUUUCCUACGAAAAUAUAAUUUCUCACAAAAUGAACCCCACUGAGCAUUUUUUUUCUCUCUUCCUGGAAUAAUUUAUUCAAAUUGCUCAGAACAGCAGAGCAAUCUGAACACUGAGUGGACCCCGAAUUUGGAUCUGCCUCUUUUUCUCUUUCUCUCUUUUUUUUAAAUCUAAGAUUGGAGAGAACAUGGGGCAAAAAAAAAAAAAGUUUAUGUACCUUGCUAUCUCCUGGCAAAUAAAGGGGGGGCGGACUUGCUUCCACCUUGGAUACCGGGCACUCUGGCAGUGGUAUCCCCCUCGAGUGUACACCUCAUUAAAAUUCAUCUGAUCUGAAUAUUUUUUGCAAAUAUGGUCUGAUUGCUCACCAUGACAGGAAACAUCCCUGUGUGUUAUUUUAAUCACACGCACCCCAACGGGCAACAUAUAUGAUGGCUG